AGACGGAGGGUGCAAGCGUUAAUCGGAAUUACUGGGCGUAAAGCGCUCGUAGGCGGCUUGUUAAGUCGGAUGUGAAAGCCCUGGGCUCAACCUGGGAACUGCAUUCGAUACUGGCAGGCUAGAGUAUAGUAGAGGCAAGUGGAAUUCCGGGUGUAGCGGUGAAAUGCGUAGAUAUCCGGAGGAACAUCAGUGGCGAAGGCGACUUGCUGGACUAAUGCUGACGCUGAGGAGCGAAAGCGUGGGGAGCAAACGGGAUUAGAAACCCCAGUAGUCC
rnacentral:rRNA from 1 species